rnacentral:lncRNA from 1 species
AUUCCAAAAAAGACGAAUCAUUAAUGAUCACCUCUCUUUUUUUGUCUAACCUUAGAAAUAAAUUUCAAAACAAAUAUACCAAACCAAUCACCUCAACUAAAAUUCAACGACACAUACAUCGAGUCAGCUAAACAAAUAUAAACUACAUGGCCAGCUAUUUAACAAUUUACAAACUUACUUUCGCAACGACACAUACAUCGAGUCAGCUAAACAAAUAUAAACUACAUGGCCAGCUAUUUAACAAUUUACAAACUUACUUUCGCAACGACACAUACAUCGACUCAGCUAAAAAAAUACAAACUACAUGGCCAGCUAUUUAACAAUUUACAAACUUACUUUCGCAACGACACAUACAUCGACUCAGCUAAAAAAAUACAAACUACAUGGCCAGCUAUUUAACAAUUUACAAACUUUCGCAACGAAGAAGACGAAGACGACAACCAAGAUCAGUGAAAUUACUAAAACAAAAAAAGGAGAGUAAGUUAUGAACUCUGAUAAAUACAACUAACAAUGAUUUUUGUUUACAUAUUAUCCAUCAAAUAAAAGAUAAACAAACACAGCCACAACAAGAGAUACAAAAGUCAAUCCCGACAGACACAAAGGCGGCAACAACAGCUCCACCUGCUCACUCCUCUUGUCUUAUAAAAAUAGCUUACAUGCCCAAUGUCAACAAACCAAUGCUAUUGUCUUCUU